rnacentral:ncRNA from 1 species
CCCGCCCGGCAGCUUUGGUGACUCUAGAUAACCUCGAGCCGAUCGCACGCCCCCGCGGCGGCGACGACCCAUUCGAAUGUCUGCCCUAUCAACUUUCGAUGGUACUGUCUGUGCCUACCAUGGUGACCACGGGUGACGGGGAAUCAGGGUUCGAUUCCGGAGAGGGAGCCUGAGAAACGGCUACCACAUCCAAGGAAGGCAGCAGGCGCGCAAAUUACCCACUCCCGACCCGGGGAGG